GAUGAACGCUGGCGGCGUGCCUAAUACAUGCAAGUCGAGCGGUAAGGUCCCUUCGGGGAUACACGAGCGGCGGACGGCUGAGUAACACGUAGGAACGUACCCCAAAGUGAGGGAUAAGCACCAGAAAUGGUGUCUAAUACCGCAUGUGCUCUAAGGAGUAAAGCUUCGGCGCUUUGGGAACGGCCUGCGUCCGAUUAGCUAGCUGGUGAGGUAAUAGCUCACCAAGGCGACGAUCGGUAGCUGGUCUGAGAGGAUGAUCAGCCAGGCUGGGACUGAGACACGGCCCAGACUCCUACGGGAGGCAGCAGUAGGGAAUUUUCCACAAUGGGCGAAAGCCUGAUGGAGCAACGCCGCGUGCAGGAUGAAUGCCUUCGGGUUGUAAACUGCUUUUAUAUGUGACGAUUAUGACGGUAACAUAUGAAUAAGGAUCGGCUAACUCCGUGCCAGCCGCCGCCGUAA
rnacentral:rRNA from 1 species